AAACCAACUGGGAUUACCUUAGUAACGGCGAGUGAAGCGGUAAAAGCUCAAAUUUGAAAUCUGGUACUUUCAGUGCCCGAGUUGUAAUUUGUAGAAUUUGUCUUUGAUUAGGUCCUUGUCUAUGUUCCUUGGAACAGGACGUCAUAGAGGGUGAGAAUCCCGUUUGGCGAGGAUACCUUUUCUCUGUAAGACUUUUUCGAAGAGUCGAGUUGUUUGGGAAUGCAGCUCAAAGUGGGUGGUAAAUUCCAUCUAAAGCUAAAUAUUGGCGAGAGACCGAUAGCGAACAAGUACAGUGAUGGAAAGAUGAAAAGAACUUUGAAAAGAGAGUGAAAAAGUACGUGAAAUUGUUGAAAGGGAAGGGCAUUUGAUCAGACAUGGUGUUUUUGCAUGCACUCGCCUCUCGUGGGCUUGGGCCUCUCAAAAAUUUCACUGGGCCAACAUCAGUUCUGGCAGCAGGAUAAAUCAUUAAGAAUGUAGCUACCUCGGUAGUGUUAUAGCUUAUUGGAAUACUG
rnacentral:rRNA from 1 species